AGUCAUCAUCCCAUUAGAUGCUAACACUGGCUCAGAGAUUUCAGCAUGUUGUGUGAUGGGACAUGGGCUAUAAUGUGAUGCUGCAGAUAGAGCUCAAACAACCAUUCCAAAGUCUGGCUGCUCACAACAGCAUGAGCCAUGUACGAACCGUCGGAGACCUCUGGACUGGAACUACGAUACUUAGUUUAUGCAGGUACAUUGGAAAUCUUCAUGUCAUGACAGCUGAACAAAUGAUGGAGUAGCUCUGCUGAAAAGGUGAUAGAGCUUAAUA